AGUGAAUAUAGGACGUCCAACUUAACUUGGAGUCCGAACUCUCACUUUCUAACCCUGUGCACUUGUUUGGGAUAGUAACUCUCGCAAGAGAGCGAACUCCUAUUCACUUAUAAACACAAAGUCUAUGAAUGUAUUAAAUUUUAUAACAAAAUAAAACUUUCAACAACGGAUCUCUUGGCUCUCGCAUCGAUGAAGAACGCAGCGAAAUGCGAUAAGUAAUGUGAAUUGCAGAAUUCAGUGAAUCAUCGAAUCUUUGAACGCACCUUGCGCUCCAUGGUAUUCCGUGGAGCAUGCCUGUUUGAGUGUCAUGAAUACUUCAACCCUCCUCUUUCUUAAUGAUUGAAGAGGUGUUUGGUUUCUGAGCGCUGCUGGCCUUUACGGUCUAGCUCGUUCGUAAUGCAUUAGCAUCCGCAAUCGAACUUCGGAUUGACUUGGCGUAAUAGACUAUUCGCUGAGGAAUUCUAGUCUUCGGACUAGAGCCGGGUUGGGUUAAAGGAAGCUUCUAAUCAGAAUGUCUACAUUUUAAGAUUAGACCUCAAAUCAGUGUAGCA
rnacentral:rRNA from 1 species